rnacentral:snoRNA from 1 species
UGGAUCUUUGUGUGUUUUAUUUAACCUUUGGACAAAAAAAAAAAAAUAGGUAUAAUAAAUAAAUCCUCUUUUGUAACUCAGAACUCAUUGUUCAUUAUGAGUUUUGAUACACAUAAGAAAGAAUAUU